GCACAUGUAAAUACGCACGGCCGGUACAGUGAAACUGCGAAUGGCUCAUUAAAUCAGUUAUGGUUCCUUUGAUCGCUCCAUCUGUUACUUGGAUAACUGUGGUAAUUCUAGAGCUAAUACAUGCCGACAAGUGCACAAGCCCAGGGAUGCGUGUAUUUAUCUGACCAAAACCAAUCUGGCGCCCUGGCCGAUUUGGUGACUAGAUAACCUCGGGCCAAUCGCAUGUCCACAUGAAGGCAAAGACUCAUUCGGAAUGUCUGCCUUAUCUACUUUCGAUGGUACUUUCUGCGCUUACCAUACUUUAAACACAUAAAUAUACUGCACAAG
rnacentral:ncRNA from 1 species